AAGACUAUACUUUCAGGGAUCGUUUCUAUAUUUUUUGACUUGAGAAAUGUGUUUCUAGAGUGUAUGGUCUCGCCAACCACGAUGAUGAGUUGUGAUAUUCUCUUGUGAGCAUGAAGCUGAUAGAGAUUAAUGAUUUGUUUCAUAUAUUUUAUGUCGUUGAUGAUUGUUCAUUGCUUUCUGGAAGAGCAGUAAAACAGAGAAUAUGUUCAGAGUGGU
ensembl:snoRNA U3 Small nucleolar RNA U3